AAAUAAGAAGCGAUUAUAUUGCAUUCAGUUUCGACCUGAAACCUAGAUGAUAUUCAUCCUUAUUUA
rnacentral:tRNA from 1 species